AAGAAAGAAGGGGGAAGGGGUGGGGGCGGGGAGAGAGGGCGGAGGGAGAGAAGAGAUUUAAAAAGUAACAUCUGUGGCUAAACUUAGUCGUGAGCCUUGGAGAAAAUAAGAUGAAAGCAAGGAAUGGGACGGAGUGAGGGUUACCGGUGCUCAGCUGGCUCCAAUUACAACCUAAUAGAGAACGAAACAGAUUGCGCAGUCGUUUCAGGCUUAAUAAAAGAACAGCCUUCUUGCGUUAAUCUAGUCCGGGCAGUCAGAGAAGCUGAGUCCUCCCGGGAGGCAGAUGUAGAAAGAAAAGCUCUCCUCGCCUCAAGCUCAGUAGACGCCACCUAGUGGGCAAAUGGCAGACUCGCACUCAGCCGGCAACCGUGGCCAGCCCAGCUCCUUGAAUACGGUGCCUACACCUACCACCAUUUCCUUUCAGUCAUCUGAUCUGGACUGGAAUGUAUUACUACAGCCCACAUCUCAGAAAAUCCUGACUUUCUAUAGAUGAAGCCCAUUAAAAGAUUUUUAGCUUGUAAGUACCCAAAGCCAGUAUUUUUCCU
rnacentral:lncRNA from 1 species